rnacentral:lncRNA from 1 species
ACGCAAAGCGCCGCCUUCACCUCUAAUCCCUAUUUCUUCCUAUUCUCACGCUACCAGCUCAGCUCGUCUGCAAUCUCUCUCUGUUUUCCGCCGCUCGUCGCCCCCUCCGGCCCACGCCGCUCGCCUCGAAAUCUCUACAGCAAGCCUGCGCCGUGCUCCGCCUCACUGUGCAGCCUAUCAGAGCAGCUCUGCCGACAACUCCCCAACCCAC